CCGGGACUGUUCAGACAGGAUGGAAAGGCAGCCCCGGUCCCGCAAACACGAACAGCUUGUCCCUACGGCAGCUAUCGCUCCACAAACAUUGUCACAGUUUGGGACCUGAUUCCACAAGGACAACAGGAGUCCUUUCAGCAGCGAUAAUUAACUGGUCCUGCAGAGAGCUGAAAAUAAGCACUUCCCAAGCAAGUAGCAAACUCCCCUGGGUUUUUUUCUGCUAAAGUUACAACUCAGCAUGAAACUGCUCCAGCCUCACAGGGACACAGAUCAUCUCCGCACCUCCCUGCCACAGCCUGGGAUGCCACCGCAGUCGCAGGCAGCUGAAUACAGGUUUUCUGCUCCUCCGUGGCUCUGGCAUCCUUCAUCCCCCUGCAGCGCCAGCCCUGGGGCUCCACACCUCAGCUUCUGACUCAGCCAUGGAGGAGGGAAAAUGGCAGGGCUGGAGCAGGCGUGGAGGGCUCUGCGCUGAAGCCACCGUGCAGCUGGCAAUGCCAUCCCUGCAUCAAGGUGAGUCAGUGCUCAGCAUCCCAGCACCCUGCAGUUGGCUGAGCGUCUCCUCUCCUCACCAGGGACCAAUGCCGUGUG